GGCCCUGUAGCUCAGGGGAUAGAGCGGCCGCCUCCUAAGCGGCAGGUCGAUGGUUCGAAUCCAUCCGGGGUCACCA
rnacentral:tRNA from 1 species